rnacentral:lncRNA from 1 species
UUAGCCAAAAAUCUAACCCUAAAAUAAUUGCAUCCCUUGUUUGAAACCCCCUUGAGCCUAUUCUCUCUUUUUUGUUUAAAACUCAUUACAAGCCGAGAAGUGAAAAAUAAUAUUAUCACCCUAUUCAAAGGAUUGAAAGAGUCUUGUUUGGAGUUGUGUGGAGUUGAAUAAUUAUGUUUGUAAUAUUUCAGAAGAUGGCAGAAAAAGAAAAAAAAUAGAAAAAGAAAAUAGAAAAGAAAAAAAAGGAAUGAAAAAAUAGAAGGAUAAGAGGAAGAAAAAAUAGAAGGAUAAGAGGAAGAAAAAAAAGGAAUUAUGUUUGUAAUAUUUCAAUACAUACUCCUUCGAAAAAAUGAAUAAAAAGAGGAAGGAGAAGAAAAAACAAUUGCUAUAAAGUUGUUCAAGUGAAUGAAAUAUUUUAUAAAUUCAACUCCCGCAGUUUCUUUCAAGUCUCUUUUAUCUCUUUGAAUUUUAGCCUAGUACCCCCUAGGAUUUAUCUCACCCUUACCUUGGCCACGUUACAACCAAAUAAAAGUCCUUUUGAUCUUUGUGUGCAUUUAUUUCAAUUGUGGAUGUUAGAGUCUUUUAAAGCUUAUGGUAGUACUAAUUUUCAUGUUGUGCUUU